GUGAAGAAGAAGAAUCAAUGAACAAAUAAAGGCUCUGAAGGAUCCCAGGGCCUUCCUGUGCUCCAACUUCAGGAACCACCAGCCCUCUGCUCUGUGUUCUCCAGAGAGCAUCAGGAUCCUUUGCAACCCAGAGCUCUUGCAGAAGCUUCUUCUUUUUCUGGAAUAUUUCUUGCCUCUGCCCUUCCACACUCACCUUACAAACUCCUGCACACUUUUGAGAUUCCAGCUUCCAGACCAAAACUCAGACUCAGCCUCCUGCAGUCAAAAAUUGCAGUUCAUUGAUUAGCACACAAUAGCCCUGCUUCGUUUCACUAGUACUUUGCUACCAUUAGGACCAAGCACAGUGCCUAUCAUAGUACUUGGAAGGAAAGAAAAGAGAGGAGAGGGCUGGAAGGAAGGGAGAGGAGGAGAAAAGAAGAGUGUUAGUCAGCUUUCUAACACUUGAACAAACAUCAGAGAAAAAUCAACCUGUAAGGGAGGAGGUUUAUUUGGGACCACAGUUUUGGAGGUUCCAGCCCAUGACUGGCUGACUCCAUUGCUUCAGACCCUGUGGUGAGGCAGCACAUCACAGUGGAGAGCCUGUAGCAGACCAAAGCCCCUUCACCUCAUCACCAGGAGCAAAAAGAAAGACACUGGAGUCCCAUAAGCCCUUGCAAGGACACAUCCUCCAGAGACCUGGAGACCUCCCCUAGGCCCCGCCUCUCAACGGCUUCCACCACCCACUAAUAGCAUCAAGCUAGGAAUCCAGCCUUUAACACAUGGGCUUUCGUGGGACCAUGAAGAUCCAUUCUACAUAGUAAGAAAGAGGGAACCAAUGGAGGAAGGGAGGGGGGA
rnacentral:lncRNA from 1 species